UAUUUUCCCCACGCUUACGUCAAAGAGCACUCUGCUGAUUUGGAUAUACGUUGGCUUUGGAAACUGCGAGCCAUAUCCCGGACUUAAGGUAAGUUUAGGGAACCGAAGUCCGUCGCAGGAUGGAGCAUAACUGACAUCAGACAACACGUAAGGUUAGUAGAAGACAUGCAACACGCUAUUGGACUUAAAAAUAACAACAUAUUCUACUGCAUAACAUCAAACAACACAUAAGGUUGUUCGAUACAUGCCAUCCACGAUUAGACCUAAAAAUAUCAACAUAUUCUAGUGCUUUAAUAUCAAACAACACGUAAGGUUAGUCGAUCCAUACCACCUGCGAUAAGACUUGAAAAUACAAACAUAUUCUAUGGCAUAACAUCAAACAACACGUAAGGUUAGUCGAUACAUACCACCCGCAAUUAGACGUGAAAAUAUAAAAAUAUUCUACUGCAUAACAUCAAACAACACGUAAGGUUAGUCGAUACAUACCACCCGCGAUAAGACUUAAAAAUAUAAACAUAUUCUACUGCAUAAAAUCGAAAAACACGUAAGGUUAGUCGAUCCAUACCACCUGCGAUAAGACUUGAAAAUACAAACAUAUUCUAUGGCAUAACAUCAAACAACACGUAAAUGGAAACAACACGUAAGGUUAGUCAAUACAU